UCCCCAGUGGCCCAGUGGUAAAGAAUCUGCCUGCAAUGCAGGAGAUGCAGGUUUGAUCCCUGCUUUGGGAA
rnacentral:tRNA from 1 species